rnacentral:tRNA from 1 species
GCCUGGUUGGCUCAGCCGGUUGAACAUCUGACUUAAGCCUAGAUCAUCAUCUCACGGUUCAUGAGUUUGAGCCCCACCUUGGGC